rnacentral:rRNA from 1 species
AUUGAACGCUGGCGGCAUGCCUUACACAUGCAAGUCGAACGGUAACGGGCCUUCGGGUGCCGACGAGUGGCGAACGGGUGAGUAAUACAUCGGAACGUGCCCGAUCGUGGGGGAUAACGAGGCGAAAGCUUUGCUAAUACCGCAUACGAUCUACGGAUGAAAGCAGGGGACCGCAAGGCCUUGCGCGGACGGAGCGGCCGAUGGCAGAUUAGGUAGUUGGUGGGAUAAAAGCUUACCAAGCCGACGAUCUGUAGCUGGUCUGAGAGGAUGAUCAGCCACACUGGGACUGAGACACGGCCCAGACUCCUACGGGAGGCAGCAGUGGGGAAUUUUGGACAAUGGGCGCAAGCCUGAUCCAGCCAUGCCGCGUGCAGGAUGAAGGCCUUCGGGUUGUAAACUGCUUUUGUACGGAACGAAAAGCCUUCUUUUAAUACAGGAGGAUCAUGACGGUACCGUAAGAAUAAGCACCGGCUAACUACGUG